UCUAGCAGCUAUGUCACUCUGCAACUCACAACUAGACUGCCAGUCUGAAGCUCAGCAGGUGGGAGCCUGGUCAGUACCUGGAUGGGAGACCUCCUGGGGAAAACUAAGGACGCUGCUGGAA
rnacentral:rRNA from 1 species